GACACAUCGUGAGCACAAACAAGACAAAGACUUUUAGUAUUAUAUAGAUGUCUUUCCUUUUGCCAGCACAAAAGCAAUUUCAAGCUUAAAAUGUAUUUAAAACAUGAGCUAACAUUUUCAGUGGUACAACUACUUUCACUGAAUCACCGGAUUGAUAUGGCAGAGAAGGAGGCUAUUUGUCCCAUUCAGUCCUUCCUGGCUCCUUCUGGAGCAAUCCAUUCAGUCAAAGAUAGACAGAAAAAGAUUAACUCAGCGGGACAGGCAGCAUCUCUGGAAAGAAGGAAUGGGUGGCGUUUCGGGUAGAGACCAUUCUUCAGACUGGUUGGGGAUAAGGGGAAUGAGAGAUAUAGACAGUGAUGUGGAGAGAUAAAGAACAAUGAAUGAAAGAUAUGCAAGAAAGUAAUGAUAAUAAAGGAAACAGUCCAUUGUAAGUUGUUUGUAGGGUGAAAAUGAGAAGCCAGUGCAACUUGGGUGGGGGAGGGAUAGAGAGAGAGGGAAUGCCGGGGCUACCUGAAGUGAGAGAAAUCAUUAUUCAUAUCACUGGCUGCAAGCUGCCCAAGCAAAAUAUGAAAUCCAUUCAGUCCCCUCCCCCUAAUCUUUCCCAUUGGCCCAGUAAAUUAUCUUUUCUCAAAUGAUUAUCCAGUUCUCUCUUGAAAAUCCUUUUUCUGAUUCCACCACUCUCACUGCCUGGGAGCUCCAGAUCUUUGCCACUGUCUGUUUCAAAGAAGUUCCUAACAUCCCUGCAUUUCUUGGCCUUCACUUUAAAUUUACUGGUCUUUGCAAUGACAAAACUCAAUGAUGAAAGCAUCUGCAAUUUUACAGUUGGACAGACUAUAUUAUUAAUGUACCGUACACCAUAGAAUAUAAUUGCAAUGCAGUAUCUGCAUGGUGUAGUUUUAUUUUAGUGCUUUGUCUACUCUUCUGGGUGAAACUAUAACGAUCAUAAUGCUUUGAGAUCUAAGAAGAUGACUAUGGUCCAUUUACUAUUUUACGUCUUCAUUGAUCAUACGCCCUUGCUUUACGUUUAAGUAAUUUUUCUUAAUUAAAAAUAAAUAAGUAAUAAUAAUAAUUCUUAUGGAUCAGAUCAAUCGCUAUGCUUUCCACCUGGAAGGAUGUUGGAGUAAGUGACAGUAGUGAUGAGUACCUGACCCCCAGCUGGCUUCUGUUGUAUCUGGUGCAACAGGAAGAGAAUGUGGACCACAAUUCAUCUCAUCAGCUUUGCUUACACAUUUAUUCAUGACUGGUCAAGAAAGACUAACAUUGCAGUGAUAAUAAUGAAAUAUGAAAGCCUACAUCACAGCGCCUAUAAGUCAUCAAAAACAACUCGAGUAACCAUUCCAAUGCUCCCUCCACAAUCCAUAGGUAGUCUUAACUAUUUGUGCAGUGUGUAAUUCUGACUGUUAAUGCAUUCAGCAUGAGUAAUAUAUAUUUGAUAAAAAGGUUCAUAUUUACUGGUAGGUAGUGAUGCAAGAAAAUGAUUUGUGGCAACAUAUGACCUAUGUGAUUACAGUUCUUCCAGAUUAUUUCUUACGUUAUGUUCCUUUUAAUAUGGAAGCGAGUGUUGAAAGACAUGCCCCUUUCAUCUUUAAAUUUCAUGCUGGAGGGCUUGUAUUACUGGAGAAAAAGACACUUUGUUCUUCUGAAAUAAGUCCUGAGGUAAUACUGACUUACAUAAAAUAUAAUCUAUAAUAACAAAUGUACUUUGUGGCAAACAAUUUAUGAGGCAAAUUCUUUUUUUUUCUCUAAUCCUUCCUAGCGUCACUGCACAGCGGCAGUUCACUUUAGGCCAACAUUAGAUCCAGAGCAAAAGCAGCAGAACACAUAUUCUGAAUGUACAUGUGGGGCACAUUUUGCUUUUGCACAUGGAAUCUUGGUCAUAGGAGUUGCUUAUCAUCUUAAAUUAAUGCUUUCUGCAUUAAUUGUUGCAGAGGCUCAUAUACUUUGCCGCAAGCUAUGUAGUUUCUCAUAACAUGUAAUGGAACACAGGAACUGUACGACUGUUAUAUCAUGGCUGUAAUAAUUACAUCCACAAGAGGCUGCAAUUCCAUGCAUGCUGAAGGCAGGGAUGAUUGAUAUCAUCUCAAUCAGAAUAUUUAUUAUCACUUUUGUCUGCCAGGAACUGAAUGAGAAUUUUAAUGCACAGGGUGCUAUUCAUUGAACUCAUUAAAACUGCAGUAUCCCUUGUCAAGCAGACUCGCUUGUCAUUUUAAUUGCUUCUACCAUACUCUGAGAAGGUGGGUCCAUCAUGGAUAAGUGACAGAGAGACAAAGGAUUAUAGGGAUAAAUAUGGGUGGAAAGGUGUAGUUCAGUGGUUGCUAGUUUUUAAAGCUGACACGCAGGAACAAGCAGCUACGGAAAGACAGGUCAUUGUAGCAUUUGUGGCUGCUAGAUAAUAUUGUUAUGGAGUUGUUCAAACAAUCAGAUUUUUCAUGAUUGCAAUAUUUCCAUCACCUAAUUUCAAUUUCUCAAAAACCCCAUUAUUGCAGUCAUUGUUGUGGGGUUACUGUGAGAUGGAUCAAAUUGUGCAUAAUUCUAUGCUGGAGUGAAAGACAAAAUACAUUUUACAACAAUAGCACAAAGAUCAUGUGUCGUCCAUCAGUUUUGUUUAUAUAUAUUAAAUAUCAGUAACUGGUCAAAAUGACCCAUUCUCAUAGUGAUUGUGAUAAAUGUAAUAACAUGGAUGUAAGUAUUGCAUGCAAGGAGUGUUUAAGUAUUAACCUUAUUGCCAGAAUUUUUAUUGAAUCUCACUUAAUAAUGAGUAAUAGAAUCAUAAAGAGCAUAGAAGCAGGACCUUCAGCCCAUCACGUCCAUGCUGAUUAAUCAGCACAAAAUCGAUGUUGAUCCCAUUUUCUCCCAUCAACUCCACCACACCCACCCCUUGUCGCACCAAUUCCCCUCCCAGCCACUUACACCAGGGGGAUUUUACAAUGAAUCUAACUACCUUUAGCAUGUGGUUAGAAACUGGAACAACUAGGGGAAAAUCCAUGUAAUCACAGGGAGAUAAGCAGCAUAUCUGAAAUUCCACAUAUUUAAGUCCCUCCCUAUUGACAUAAACUGUAAUUCAUAAUUCAUGUAUAUUGUGCACAUUGCUGUUUUAUUUUGCUGUUGCAAAGAUGAAUCUAGGAAAAUAAAUCAGAGAAGAUUCAAUAAAAAAGGAAGCGUAAAUAAUGACUUUUAAAAAUAUGUUCAUUGAUGGUGUCUCCACUUCCAAACCCACUAUUUUGUUGCUUGUAGAAACUGAGACUUUGCAUGCAAACAUGUACCCAGGUAUUCCCUGAAACCUCCCACUCUUUAAAGACAAUUACUCAUGCAGCCACUCGGAGAUCGUCAGCCAAUAUAAAUCUCAAAUUUUGUUUUGGCCAAAAUCUGACCAAAAAAAAAUUAUCGCACCCAAUGUUCUGGGGUUAGAGUGAAAUAGAUCAAAUUAUGCUGAUAUUUUAAUGAAAUCCUAAAAUGAUGGAACUAUGAAACAGCUAACACAUCUUUACCUAAAAUAACCAUCUACAGAAAGUACGUUUCUAUAAUUAUUUGUAAUGGUAUUUUGUUAUCCUUUAUUAAUAAUAGUGCUGGAUAUAGAGCGUCAUUAUAUGUGUUGACCUCUUCUUUUUAAAGCCAUUGUCAUUAUGCCCAAUCUCAAAAUACUCAUAUGAGACUUUUUAUUUACAUCCUCACAUUCCACUUGAUUGCUUUUGAACACUUGGAUCCUUUCCCAAAUCUCUGCCUCAUAGUUCUCUGCUUGAAUUUCUCCAAUCAAGUCCAUCUGCAGGUGAGAGCCCCACUUAUGCCUCGACUGUUCUUCUGCCCAACCUCCUAUCCUUCACUUUCUUGCAAAACUCUGCUGCCUGAAUCUAAUUGCAAACCAAAUCCCUCUCACUCUGCACUCUGAGCCCCUGACUCAGGUUUGCUUCCAGUUCAUCAACACUUCAGCUUUGAACAUCUUGUCAAUGCAUUCAAAUCCUUUCAAAGCUUGAUUUGGCAUCUUCUUAUUUAUCAUCUGCAGGCCAAGAUCAUCCGCAAACUCUCCCAUCUCCUCAUUCAGCACUUUCCCUGCUAAAUACCACUUGCCAUUGGCUCCUUUUUCUCCAGAUGUGAUCAAUUUUCAGAUCACAUUCUCCAGUCUCUGCAGCCUACCAUCGUUGGAGCUGGGAGCUGCCUUGGACUGUCGUGAGCCCCACCACGGGGCGCGGACUUAACAUCGGAGCGGAUCCCUUGCCUGGGAUUGCUCCCACCACGGCCUGCGGACUUACCAUCAAGGGCUCACAGUCUCGGGGGAGGCCGAGUCGGGAGCUCCAACGCCGCAGCCUCGAUGCGAGGUUCGAUCACCCGGCACGGGGGAGAUGACAUCCCCCCGAUGCAGGAGCUGAACGCCUCGAUGCAGAGGGCCCGAACGUCGCUGGCUACGGGAGUCAAGACCGUCCCGUCAACGGAGGGCUCGAGUCCCCCAACCGAGGAAGAACAAAAGGAAGAGACUUUAACUUUAUUUCGCCUUCCAUCACAGUGAGGAAUGUGUAGGAGUCACUGUGGUGGAUGUUCAUGUUAAAAUGUGUUUUUGAGUCUGUUGCUUUUAAUGGUAUGACUGACCUGGCCAGUGAAAUUCCUCGUAUGUUGCAAAGCAUACUUGCCGAAUAAAAUCUGAUUCUGAUUCUGA